UACGUAGGGGGCAAGCGUUGUCCGGAGUUACUGGGCGUAAAGCGCCCGCAGGCGGUCUGUUAAGUUUGAAGUGACAGUCUCCGGCUCAACUGGAGAAGGCCUUUGAAAACUGGCAGACUUGAGGGCUUCAGAGGGACACGGAAUUCCGGGUGUAGUGGUGAAAUGCGUAGAUAUCCGGAGGAACACCAAAGGCGUAGGCAGUGUCCUGGGAAGUUCCUGACGCUGAGGGGCGAAAGCCAGGGGAG
rnacentral:rRNA from 1 species